rnacentral:rRNA from 1 species
CGGAGAGGGAGCAUGAGAGACGGCUACCAGGUCCAAGGACGGCAGCAGGCGCGAAAAUUACCGAAGCUCAAAUUGAGGCGGUAGUAAUGAAACGUAAAAUUCUAAAAGAAGAGUAAAAAUCUUUUUAAUAACUGGAGGUCAAGUCUGGUGCCAGCAUCCGCGGUAAUACCAGCUCCAGGGGUGUCUAUGAUGAUUGCUGCGAUUAAAAGGUCCGUAGUCGAAAUUAUUUAAUUGUUUGAAAAAUAUUAGUUCAAACGAUAGUAAGAACAAUUAUGUAAUUGGAAGAAAUAACUAGGGGCAGGUUUAUCGAGCAACGAGAGGUGAAAUUUGAUGACUUGCUUGGGAGAAACAGAGGCGAAAGCGCCUGUCAAGAGUAUUUUUGACGAUCAAGGACGUAGGCUGGAGUAUCGAACACGAUUAGAUACCGUAGUAGUUCCAGCAGUAAACUAUGCCUACGCUAUCGAAUAAAAGUUUGGUAGACGAGAAAUCAUGAGUAGGGCUUUGGGGAGAGUACACGCGCAAGCGAUAAAUUUUAAAGGAAAUUGACGGAAGAACACCACAAGGAGUGGAGUGUGCGGCUUAAUUUGACUCAACGCGGGACAGCUUACCAGACCCGAGGACCAUAAGAGUGAGUACACGAUAGGUCUAAGAGUGGUGCAUGGCCGUUAUCGACGAGUGAAGUGAUUUUAUGGUUAAAUCCGACAAGUCGUGAGACCCUAAAUAUUAAUUUAUUUUUUUAAUAAAACAGGUAUGAAAAUACAGGAAGGAUAGGACAAGAACAGGUCAGUGAUGCCCUUAGAUGGUUUGGGCUGCGCGCGCACUACAGUGGUUAUAAUAAUAAUAAAGAUAAGAAAAUAAAUAUAAUCGAGAGGGAUUGAGCACUGUAAAGUGCCCAUGAACGAGGAAUUGCUAGUAAUCGUAAAUCUCAGUAAGAUACGAUGAAUAUGUCCCUGUUCUUUGUACACACCGCCCGUCGUUAUCGAAGAUGGAGUUUUGCCCGAACGAGCUUUAGCGAGUGAGUGUAUGAUUCUAGAUCUGAUACAAGUCGUAACAAGGUAACC